CCUACGGAGGGCAGCAGUGGGGAAUAUUGGACAAUGGGCGAAAGCCUGAUCCAGCCAUGCCGCGUGUGUGAAGAAGGCCUUCGGGUUGUAAAGCACUUUCAGUGGGGAAGAAAGCCUUGGGGCUAAUACCCUCGAGGAAGGACAUCACCCACAGAAGAAGCACCGGCUAACUCCGUGCCAGCAGCCGCGGUAAUACGGAGGGUGCGAGCGUUAAUCGGAAUUACUGGGCGUAAAGCGCGCGUAGGCGGUCUGAUAAGCCGGUUGUGAAAGCCCCGGGCUCAACCUGGGAACGGCAUCCGGAACUGUCAGGCUAGAGUGCAGGAGAGGAAGGUAGAAUUCCCGGUGUAGCGGUGAAAUGCGUAGAGAUCGGGAGGAAUACCAGUGGCGAAGGCGGCCUUCUGGACUGACACUGACGCUGAGGUGCGAAAGCGUGGGUAGCAAACAGGAUUAGAUACCCCGGUAGUC
rnacentral:rRNA from 1 species